rnacentral:rRNA from 1 species
ACCCGCUGAACUUAAGCAUAUCAAUAAGCGGAGGAAAAGAAACCAACAGGGAUUGCCCUAGUAACGGCGAGUGAAGCGGCAACAGCUCAAAUUUGAAAUCUGGCGCAAGCCCGAGUUGUAAUUUGUAGAGGAUGCUUCUAGGUAGCGACCGGUCUAAGUUCCUUGGAACAGGACGUCAUAGAGGGUGAGAAUCCCGUAUGUGACUGGCCCGCACCUUCUACGUAGCUCCUUCGACGAGUCGAGUUGUUUGGGAAUGCAGCUCUAAAUGGGAGGUAAAUUUCUUCUAAAGCUAAAUACCGGCCAGAGACCGAUAGCGCACAAGUAGAGUGAUCGAAAGAUGAAAAGCACUUUGGAAAGAGAGUUAAAAAGCACGUGAAAUUGUUGAAAGGGAAGCGCUCACAACCAGACUUCUAGGCAGUGUUCCGCCGGUCUUUUGACCGGUCUACUCUCUGUCUCGAGGCCAACAUCAUCUGGGACCGCCGGAUAAGACCUUAGGAAUGUAGCUCCCCUCGGGGAGUGUUAUAGCCUCUGGUGAUGCGGCGCGUCUCGGGUGAGGUCCGCGCUUCGGCAAGGAUGUUGGCGUAAUGGUUGUCAGCGGCCCGUCUUGAAACACGGACCAAGGAGUCUAACAUCUAUGCGAGUGUUCGGGUGUCAAACCCCUACGCGUGAUGAAAGUGAACGGAGGUGGGAAGCGUAAGCUGCACCAUCGACCGAUCCUGAUGUCCUCGGAUGGAUUUGAGUAAGAGCAUAGCUGUUGGGACCCGAAAGAUGGUGAACUAUGCCUGAAUAGGGUGAAGCCAGAGGAAACUCUGGUGGAGGCUCGCAGCGGUUCUGACGUGCAAAUCGAUCGUCAAAUUUGGGUAUAGGGGCGAAAGACUAAUCGAACCAUCUAGUAGCUGGUUCCUGCCGAAGUUUCCCUCA